rnacentral:rRNA from 2 species
CGAGCGAACUGAUUAGAAGCUUGCUUCUAUGACGUUAGCGGCGGACGGGUGAGUAACACGUGGGCAACCUGCCUGUAAGACUGGGAUAACUUCGGGAAACCGAAGCUAAUACCGGAUAGGAUCUUCUCCUUCAUGGGAGAUGAUUGAAAGAUGGUUUCGGCUAUCACUUACAGAUGGGCCCGCGGUGCAUUAGCUAGUUGGUGAGGUAACGGCUCACCAAGGCAACGAUGCAUAGCCGACCUGAGAGGGUGAUCGGCCACACUGGGACUGAGACACGGCCCAGACUCCUACGGGAGGCAGCAGUAGGGAAUCUUCCGCAAUGGACGAAAGUCUGACGGAGCAACGCCGCGUGAGUGAUGAAGGCUUUCGGGUCGUAAAACUCUGUUGUUAGGGAAGAACAAGUACAAGAGUAACUGCUUGUACCUUGACGGUACCUAACCAGAAAGCCACGGCUAACUACGUGCCAGCAGCCGCGGUAAUACGUAGGUGGCAAGCGUUAUCCGGAAUUAUUGGGCGUAAAGCGCGCGCAGGCGGUUUCUUAAGUCUGAUGUGAAAGCCCACGGCUCAACCGUGGAGGGUCAUUGGAAACUGGGGAACUUGAGUGCAGAAGAGAAAAGCGGAAUUCCACGUGUAGCGGUGAAAUGCGUAGAGAUGUGGAGGAACACCAGUGGCGAAGGCGGCUUUUUGGUCUGUAACUGACGCUGAGGCGCGAAAGCGUGGGGAGCAAACAGGAUUAGAUACCCUGGUAGUCCACGCCGUAAACGAUGAGUGCUAAGUGUUAGAGGGUUUCCGCCCUUUAGUGCUGCAGCUAACGCAUUAAGCACUCCGCCUGGGGAGUACGGUCGCAAGACUGAAACUCAAAGGAAUUGACGGGGGCCCGCACAAGCGGUGGAGCAUGUGGUUUAUUUCGAAGCAACGCGAAGAACCUUACCAGGUCUUGACAUCCUCUGACAACUCUAGAGAUAGAGCGUUCCCCUUCGGGGACAGAGUGACAGUGUGCAUGGUUGUCGUCAGCUCGUGUCAUGAGAUGUUGGGUUAAGUCCCGCAACGAGCGCAACCCUUGAUCUUAGUUGCCAGCAUUUAGUUGGGCACUCUAAGGUGACUGCCGGUGACAAACCGGAGGAAGGUGGGGAUGACGUCAAAUCAUCAUGCCCCUUAUGACCUGGGCUACACACGUGCUACAAUGGAUGGUACAAAGGGCUGCAAGACCGCGAGGUCAAGCCAAUCCCAUAAAACCAUUCUCAGUUCGGAUUGUAGGCUGCAACUCGCCUACAUGAAGCUGGAAUCGCUAGUAAUCGCGGAUCAGCAUGCC